GUUGUCGUGCCAACGGCAUAGCUGGGUAGCUAUGUGUGGACGGGAUAAGUGCUGAAAGCAUCUAAGCAUGAAGCCCCCCUCAAGAUGAGAUUUCCCAACUUCGGUUAUAAGAUCCCUCAAAGAUGAUGAGGUUAAUAGGUUCGAGGUGGAAGCAUGGUGACAUGUGGAGCUGACGAAUACUAAUCGAUCGAAGACUUAAUCAAAA
rnacentral:rRNA from 1 species